AAACCAUGGUUGGGGCAUUUGUGAAGGAGGCCCUUGAAGCGUGCAACGGCCUCAUAGAGUGGUUCAUCAUGGCCUUGUAUAAAUUGAAAGAUCUCACUCUUGAGCUU